rnacentral:tRNA from 1 species
GCUGGGGUGGCUCAGUGGUAGAGCGCUUGCCUAGCACGCAUGACGCAUUGGGUUCGAUCCUCAGCA